rnacentral:rRNA from 1 species
AGCGAACGCUGGCGGCAGGCUUAACACAUGCAAGUCGAGCGCUCGUAGCAAUACGGGAGCGGCAGACGGGUGAGUAACACGUGGGAACGUACCUUUUGGUUCGGAACAACACAGGGAAACUUGUGCUAAUACCGGAUAAGCCCUUACGGGGAAAGAUUUAUCGCCGAAAGAUCGGCCCGCGUCUGAUUAGCUAGUUGGUGAGGUAAUGGCUCACCAAGGCGACGAUCAGUAGCUGGCCGAGAGGAUGAUCAGCCACAUUGGGACCGAGACACGGCCCAAACUCCUACGGGAGGCAGCAGUGGGGAAUAUUGGACAAUGGGCGCAAGCCUGAUCCAGCCAUGCCGCGUGAGUGAUGAAGGCCUUAGGGUCGUAAAGCUCUUUUGUGCGGGAAGAUAAUGACUGUACCGCAAGAAUAAGCCCCGCUAACUUCGUGCCAGCAGCCGCUGUAAG